rnacentral:rRNA from 1 species
GACGAACGCUGGCGGCGUGCUUAAUACAUGCAAGUCGAACGGAAAGGCCCUGCUUUUGUGGGGUGCUCGAGUGGCGAACGGGUGAGUAAAACGUGAGUAACCUGCCCUUGAAUUUGGGAUAAAUUUAGGAAAAUGGGGAUAAUACAGGAUAGGAGAUACUGCUGCAUGGUGGGGGUUGGAAAGUUUCGGCGGUUGGGGAUGGACUCGCGGCUUAUCCGCUUGUUGGUGGGGUAGUGGCUUACCAAGGCUUUGACGGGUAGCCGGCCUGAGAGGGUGACCGGCCUCAUUGGGACUGAGAUACGGCCCAGACUCCUACGGGAGGCAGCAGUGGGGAGUAUUGCACAAUGGGCGGAAGCCUGAUGCAGCAACGCCGCGUGCGGGAUGACGGCCUUCGGGUUGUAAACCGCUUUCUCCUGUGACGAAGCGGGAGUGACGGUAAUGGGUAAAGAAGCACCGGCUAACUACGUG